rnacentral:rRNA from 1 species
GAUGAACGCUGGCGGCGUGCCUAAUACAUGCAAGUCGAGCGAACGGACGAGAAGCUUGCUUCUCUGAUGUUAGCGGCGGACGGGUGAGUAACACGUGGAUAACCUACCUAUAAGACUGGGAUAACUUCGGGAAACCGGAGCUAAUACCGGAUAAUAUUUUGAACCGCAUGAUUCAAAAGUGAAAGACGGUCUUGCUGUCACUUAUAGAUGGAUCCGCGCUGCAUUAGCUAGUUGGUAAGGUAACGGCUUACCAAGGCAACGAUGCAUAGCCGACCUGAGAGGGGGAUCGGCCACACUGGAACGGAGACACGGUCCAGCCUCCUAGGGGAGGAAGCAGUAGGGAAUUUGCCGCAAUGGGCGAAAGCCUGACGGAGCAACGCCGCGUGAGUGAUGAAGGUCUUCGGUUCGUAAAACCCUGUUAUUAGGGAAGAACAUCUGUGUAAGUAACUGUGCACAUCUUGACGGUACCUAAGCAGAAAGCCACGGCUAACUACGU